UGCUAAAGUUUCAAAACAGUGCGUUGUUUAGGAGUGCAGAGGCGAAUUGAGUUAUUGCACACGCCCACUUCAGAGUAGGCGUUCCCUAACAGAAAUAUGCAAAUGAUACUAGAACACGCCAAUAGGAUCUCGCUAGAUCGUGGAAAGAUGGCGGACGUGGACGAUGAAGUUGAUUCUGAAUCAAAUGGCGGUAGAGUCAAGGAGAAUUGGAGUGUUGUUCAAAAGAAUGGAAAACGGAGCAAGAGCCACAAUGUGUAGACCCAUGGACAGGUUAUACUGUGGAAGAGAACCUGGAGGAUAGGCUGUUGUCCAAAUCUCAGUCUCAGCUCAGCUCUUGUAUGAAUCAGGCUACAGGGGCGUAACAUUUUGGAGGCUCCGCUGAGAUUGCUGCUCAG